UUCCCUCUGCGGAGCACGAGAGGAGCGCAGUAACGAACUCCUGACAAGCAUACGAACCCGGGACGCGAUUUCGCGGGUGGAGUGCAGGCCCGGACCUUCUCACCGGGAAGCCGGAAGCCCCGACGAGCGUCCCACCUAGCGGUGCUAGGGGUUCGGGCUACGCAACCAAACUCACGGCUCACGCGGUAAGGAA
rnacentral:other from 1 species